UACGGGGGGGGCAAGCGUUGUUCGGAAUUACUGGGCGUAAAGGGCUCGUAGGCGGCCAACUAAGUCAGACGUGAAAUCCCUCGGCUUAACCGGGGAACUGCGUCUGAUACUGGAUGGCUUGAGUUUGGGAGAGGGAUGCGGAAUUCCAGGUGUAGCGGUGAAAUGCGUAGAUAUCCGGAGGAACACCGGUGGCGAAGGCGGCAUCCUGGACCAACACUGACGCUGAUGAGCGAAAGCCAGGGGAGCAAACGGG
rnacentral:rRNA from 1 species